rnacentral:rRNA from 1 species
AUUGAACGCUGGCGGAAUGCUUUACACAUGCAAGUCGAGCGGCAGCGCGGGGCAACCUGGCGGCGAGCGGCGAACGGGUGAGUAAUACAUCGGAACGUACCCAGUUGUGGGGGAUAGCCCGGCGAAAGCCGGAUUAAUACCGCAUACGACCUGAGGGUGAAAGGGGGGGAUCGCAAGACCUCUCGCAGUUGGAGCGGCCGAUGGCGGAUUAGCUAGUUGGUGAGGUAAAGGCUCACCAAGGCGACGAUCCGUAGCUGGUCUGAGAGGACGACCAGCCACACUGGAACUGAGACACGGUCCAGACUCCUACGGGAGGCAGCAGUGGGGAAUUUUGGACAAUGGGGGCAACCCUGAUCCAGCCAUUCCGCGUGAGUGAAGAAGGCCUUCGGGUUGUAAAGCUCUUUCGGCAGGAACGAAACGGUGGGGGCUAAUAUCCCCUGCUAAUGACGGUACCUGAAGAAGAAGCACCGGCUAACUACGUGCCAGCCGCCGCAGUAA